rnacentral:rRNA from 1 species
CAGCAGCCGCGGUAAUACGAAGGGUGCAAGCGUUACUCGGAAUUACUGGGCGUAAAGCGCGCGUAGGUGGUGGUUUAAGUCCGUUGUGAAAGCCCUGGGCUCAACCUGGGAAUUGCAGUGGAUACUGGGUCACUAGAGUGUGGUAGAGGAUAGUGGAAUUUCCGGUGUAGCAGUGAAAUGCGUAGAGAUCGGAAGGAACAUCUGUGGCGAAGGCGACUAUCUGGGCCAACACUGACACUGAGGCACGAAAGCGUGGGGAGCAAACAGGAUUAGAUACCCCAGUAGUCCCUGUCUCUUAUAC